CUGAUUGACUGAGGAAGGUAGCAGGCUUGUUCUUAAACCCAGCAGCAGUUUGGUGACUGCUCAAUGCAUUUGCCCACAGCUGCAAUAGCCCCUGCCUUGAUUUACUCCAGAUUUCCAUGACUCUGCUCCACAAAGGAGGACAGACAUGAUGCUGGUGUUAAAAAUUCAUAUGUUUGUGAGUUGGUGCCAGUUGAUGUCUUCCAUGCUUCUGAGGGGGCCAUGCUUGUGAUGUCACCCAAUUUUUAAUUUGCUACGUGCUCAAAGUAUGGUGGCCAUGUUGGUCAAUUAGCUUGUACUAGAAG